rnacentral:tmRNA from 1 species
GCCCUUGCAACCCCGCGCCGGGGCGCCUAUGUUGGGCUUGUUCAUCGGGGGCAACUCUGGCGGACUAUGGGCAUAAACGCGCACGUAAUACACGGAUCGGACCCGGGGGCGGUACCCGGCGGCUCCACCAUCUCACCCGGUCAUUGCGGGGGCGAGGGGCCGAAACAGGAUCGACGGACGUUCAAAGGUGUUUGCUUUGCUUCGGUGAGCUACCACCGUUAUCGGUGCAAAAGUACAGUUGCCAAUGACAACCGUGCUCCGGUGGCCCUUGCUGCGUAAGCAGUUCGGGUACCGAAACUAAGUCCUUGCGGGUAGCACCGUAAGGCGGGGUUCGCAGGUACCUGGCAACAGAAACCUGCACC